UACAGAGGUCUCAAGCGUUGUUCGGAUUCAUUGGGCGUAAAGGGUGCGUAGGUGGCGCUGUAAGUCGGGUGUGAAAUUUCGGAGCUUAACUCCGAAACUGCAUUCGAUACUGCGGUGCUUGAGGACUGGAGAGGAGACUGGAAUUCAUGGUGUAGCAGUGAAAUGCGCAGAUAUCAGGAGGAACACCGGUGGCGAAGGCGGGUCUCUGGGCAGUAACUGACGCUGAGGAGCGAAAGCGUGGGGAGCGAACAGG
rnacentral:rRNA from 1 species